CACGUAGGGCGCAAGCGUUGUCCGGAAUUAUUGGGCGUAAAGAGCUCGUAGGCGGUCUGUUACGUCUGCUGUGAAAACCCAGGGCUUAACCCCGGGCUUGCAGUGGAUACGGGCAGACUAGAGGCAGGUAGGGGAGAAUGGAAUUCCCGGUGUAGCGGUGAAAUGCGCAGAUAUCGGGAGGAACACCGGUGGCGAAGGCGGUUCUCUGGGCCUUACCUGACGCUGAGGAGCGAAAGCGUGGGGAGCGAACAGG
rnacentral:rRNA from 1 species